UCAUCUGAAAACCCCGUUGCCAACAGUACUAGAAAGAAACCUCAAAAAAAAAAAACCCUAGCAAAUCCUCACUAUUACUUGGCAAAUCACAGGGAAUAGGAUCUAAUUUAUUUUUGUACGAGUUCGAAAGGAUCAAUUCUAUUUAGGAUUCAACUCUUGAUGCUAAAAAAUAUUCCGAAUAUAAAAGUUGAUUUAAGUCUCUUAAUUCAAAUGAUUAAAGUGUUCGGACCAGCAAUUUGAGCAAUUGUUCUGGGAUAUUACUCUACCACUUGAAUAAAAUAAAAGCAGGCAAUGUUCUAAUAAUUCCUCUCAACAGUGUUCUCACCCUUGAGAAAGAUUAAUAACCACAAGAAUGCGGGUUCUUCUCAGUAUUUUAUUUAUUUAUUUUUGGCCAAACUCGCCACAAAGCAUCAAACUUUAUACCUAAUAUUUCUAGCUGAUAUCUAAAAUCUUUAGCAACAAAGUAACUGCAAAAACUGAAGUUAAGCUACAACCCAAGAGCUCAGGCUUCUCGUGAGUAGCUAAUGUUUUGAGUUUGCUUGCAACAAUGUCAGGGCAUUACAGGCAGCAAAAACAUGAAACUCUUUAAGCUGCAAAGCGCGUCCCUUGUGUUCAUUAUUUGCACAUUAUGGUUUAGGUCAGAAAAUCAAUAUAAUUCAAUGAUCCCAGACCUCAGUACAUGUGCAAUAUGAAAUCUGAACAAAUUAAACCUUCAGUGCUGUGCGAUCGAGCAAAAGAGAUGGAAGGGGAGGAGAAAAGCUUAGAAGAACUUACCAGUUUCUAAGCGCAGCCG
rnacentral:lncRNA from 1 species